AGCUAAUCUUUUGUUUUUGUUCAAUUUUUUUCCAGAAUUUGAUUCAGAAGAUACGAAAUCACCAUGGAUGAGUCUCAGAAUGAAUUGGAAAAAUCAAACGCCACUGGACUGAAUGAUCAAAAAGGCCAACCUUGCAGCUGGUGAAUCUGAGUUAGAUGACGAAGAUGAAUCUGACUCUUGACUCUGAUGAGGUGGAUUUUAACUACUUUUAAGUAGUGCAACAUUUUUUUAGUGAGUUGUGAGUAGCAUUGACUCACUUAAUUUGUUGAGAGCUAUGCUCUUUAUACUGAUUUCGGAAAUGUGAGGCAUGUUUUCUUUAAUUGGUUUUAGAUGGGUUCAAAUGAUGAUAAGGAUGACUCAAAAUAAGAGGAGGAAACAUCGAUGAAGGUAUUUUCUUAAAGAAUUGGCCCUUUGCACUAAGAGGUUACAAACAUUUUUGCUUAAGGCUAUAUCUCUUUCACGUUCCAGGAUUAAGCUAACUGAGUUCAAUUUCUGCCCUCAACAUCAGACCUUUACUGUUGCCACCAUCGUCUCUCUACAGCAAGAUUUGAUGUUGAUACAGCCCUUAUUCAGUUCAUACUUUGCACACCUCUUUAUUGACAUGAAGCUUAACAUUUUUUAUUUUAAACAGGAAGGGCACAACUAUCCUGGAGGUGAUGUGCCUUCUGCCACAUGUAGCUCCUGCAACUGCUCAGAUGGUGAUAAAAUAACUACUGACUAGUUCACCGGAGGUGAUGGCAAUCUCUCAAAAGACCCCGGUGCAUCGGAUGCAACAGCCGCUGCUGAGCAGCCCACUUCUGGCGGAAGCAAUGCAAAGGAACAACUGGUUUCAGCAGCAGGAAACACACUCUUUAAAGCACGGAGUAGUUGUUCAAGUGAUGGAACUGAAGACCCUAAUAUUUAUCUGAACCAUCUUUGACAUUAUAUUUUUUUACCACAAAUUUUGUGAUUUCUUUACCAUGUUUGUUUUCUCCAUCAAGUUUUAUGAUAUGAACCAUGUUCGCUUCUUCUUCCAUAAAUAAUAACGUCUUUCUACUUA